rnacentral:rRNA from 1 species
UACAGAGGUCUCAAGCGUUGUUCGGAUUCAUUGGGCGUAAAGCGCGCGUAGGUGGCCUCGUAAGUCCGCUGUGAAAGUCAAAGGCUCAACCUUUGAAAGCCGGUGGAUACUGUGAGGCUAGAGUACGGAAGAGGCGAGUGGAAUUCCUGGUGUAGCGGUGGAAUGCGCAGAUAUCAGGAGGAACACCAAUAGCGAAGGCAGCUCGCUGGGACGUAACUGACACUGAGGCGCGAAAGCGUGGGGAGCGAACAGG